rnacentral:rRNA from 1 species
UACGUAGGGUGCGAGCGUUAUCCGGAUUCACUGGGUUUAAAGGGUGCGUAGGUGGGUUGAUAAGUCAGUGGUGAAAUCCCCGAGCUUAACUUGGGAACUGCCAUUGAUACUAUUGAUCUUGAAUACCGUGGAGGUCAGCGGAAUAUGUCAUGUAGCGGUGAAAUGCUUAGAUAUGACAUAGAACACCAAUUGCGAGGGCAGCUGGCUACGCGAAUAUUGACACUGAUGCACGAAAGCGUGGGGAUCAAACAGG